AUGGCACCCAGCCGGAAUGGCAUGAUCUUGAAGCCCCACUUCCACAAGGCUUGGCAGCAGCAAAAAGAAAAUUGGUUCAACCAGCCAGCAGACAAGAUCCUCAGAUGCAAUGUCUGGCAGGCAAAAGCACACCGCAUUGUCCCUCAUCCCACAUCCGGUCCCAUCAGGCUCAUCGUGAGGUACCCUACAGUUAGAUAUUACAAGAAGAUCCGGGCAGGCAGGGGCUUCAGCCCGGGGAACUCAGGGUGGCUGGUAUCCACGAGAAAAUAACUUGCACCAUCAGCACCCAUGGAGGCAAAACAAAUCCACUGACUCACAAUACGUCAACUUGUACACCUGAGGAGUACCGCUCCAAGCUCAUACUUUCCCCAGGAAGCCUUCUGCUCCAAAGAAGGGAGACAGUUCUGCUGAAGAACUUAAAUUAGCCAUCCAGCUAACAGGACCUGUGAUGCCCAUCCAGAAUGUGUACCAAAAGGAAAAGGCCAGAGUCAUCACAGAAGAAGAGAAGAACUUCAAGGCUUUGCCAGUCUCCUCAUGAUCUGUGCCAAUGCCCGGCUCUUUGGCAUCCGAGCAAAAGGGGCGAAGGAACCUGCAGAGCAAGAUGUUGAAAAGAAAUAA
rnacentral:lncRNA from 1 species